rnacentral:rRNA from 1 species
UACGAACUGUGCGAACGUUAUUCGGAAUCACUGGGCUUACAGGGUGCGUAGGCGGCUAUUCAGGUCAGGUGUGAGAGCCCCCGGCUCAACCGGGGAACUGCGCUUGAAACCGAGUGGCUCGAGUCAGCUAGAGGUACACGGAACUUCCAGUGGAGCGGUGAAAUGUGUUGAUAUUGGAAGGAACACCGGAGGCGAAAGCGGUGUACUGGGGCUGGUCUGACGCUGAGGCACGAAAGCCAGGGGAGCGAACGGG